UCUGUUUGGGUUGGUUUGCUUUCGCACUGUGGGUGUAAUUGAGCAAUUUGCAUAACACCCCUUGACUUGAGCAACUUAGCUGCAUUGUUUAUAUUGAUUUUAAAACAAUCAAGCUAAUUCAAAACCUGACAGAAGCAGGGGGACUCCAUCCCCUUUUUUGAAACCGAUCGUAUUUUUCUAUUGCGCUCCGAAUUGGAAUGUUUUGAGAAAAAUGUUUGCUAACUCCGCUGCUAAGGAAUGAGAGUGUGUUUUCAUGUUAGCUGCUGUAGCUAGCUAGGGUAAUUGUGCCACUAACUUUGUCAAACAACCAAAAUUAGCCGUGUUCGGUACACCAAUACAGCCCUUGCAUACAUGCAAAGGUGAAUGUGAGAAACGACCUGAAAAGAAGAAUAUCAACCGCAGCCGGUAUGAACCAUUUGUUCUCCCGUGCAUUGCAGAGUUUCUCGGGACAGACCUCUUCAUCUUCACCAACUGGUUUCAGUGAUCAAAAACCCAACGGACACCGGUAGACUGCAGCCAGCUGUGGCAUAUGGGGUUGCUCUGUCCAUCUGCAUAGCCAUCACAACAGCAGCGAGUGGAGGCCACUUACUAACGGUCUGCAUGAGUGCCGUCAACAGGCAGAGCAAGACCCUCAUAGCACCUUUCUGCAUCCGACUGACUGUCACCGUCGGUAUUCUGGGAGGGCUCCUCCCUCCUAGGGGACCCAAGAAUAUGACUCAUCAUGAAGAAGAAACCAGCACUUGUUUGAACUGUGAAACACUGAGGUGUAGUUUAUGCACCGAUGCGUCUGGGAGUAAACAUAUUACCUAUCAACUUGGAUAUGAUACGUUUUCUUAUGGACAAUGCUCUCUGGCAUAAAGGCUGUCAGGAAGAUAUGACACCCAUGUUAUAUUAUAAACUCAGAUUAAAUAGGUAGGUCUACCAUCACAUCUUAAAACACUAUGUAUUGUAACUAACUAUCUCUGUCC